UCACCUACGGGACGCAGCAGUGAGGAAUAUUGGUCAAUGGUCGGGAGACUGAACCAGCCAAGCCGCGUGAGGGAGGAAGGUACAGAGUAUCGUAAACCUCUUUUGUCAGGGAACAAAGACUGGGACGCGUCCCCGGAUGAGUGUACCUGAAGAAAAAGCAUCGGCUAACUACGUGCCAGCAGCCGCGGUAAUACGUAGGUGGCAAGCGUUAUCCGGAUUUAUUGGGCGUAAAGGGAACGCAGGCGGUCUUUUAAGUCUGAUGUGAAAGCCUUCGGCUUAACCGGAGUAGUGCAUUGGAAACUGGG
rnacentral:rRNA from 1 species